GUGGUGGGGACAUCCCCAGCGUAAAUAACACCAAUGCUAGACAGAUACUUUGUUUGCACAGUCCUACCGUAAUUAAGUUACUCCUAGAUGUUCGUCUGGUGUCCGGGGGAAACGUUUACCUCGAUGAAGGAAAGUCAUUGUCAUGUUUAUUCGGCUAUAUCCAGUGCUGAGCUUCGAUGAAACUUUACGAGACCGGCGAGAUGCUUCACAGGUGGAAGAUAUGCGGCGUGAUUGACAGCUUUGACACCAAAUGGGUAUACGUGAAAAUCAGAUGACAUGAUUUCACAAGUUUUCAUUGGCCAUUUAGGUAUGUGACGCAUACUGUAUACGGAAAUGAACCUGGACAUUCAAUCUGUCAAAAAAUCUCAAAAUCGGCAAAAUGAACAUACGUGAUUUUCAUCGGACAGCGACGAUAUAUUCAUUCGAUUUUUAAUUUUGAGAUUCGAAUAUUUUUUUCUGUUUUUAACAUUAGCAUUAAUGCAGAGACUGCCAAGCAGGAAGUGCACUUCACGCUCCCGCUCAAGGUUCUGUCAGGGUUCUUUCGCUUAACCAGCAAAAACCUCAAAAUCGAGUUUUUCAAAGAACUGGACAAACAACUCCUCGCUGUCUUGACAUUUUCAAGUCCAAGGGUGGAUGUACCGGCCAGAUACUUAAGGCGUAUUUGCAUCAUCAAAUCGCACUGGGGAAUACAGAUGUUACUGCUAAGUGAACAGCAGUCCUCCGUGGCCUUCCCAUCCUCCUUGGAGAUGAGAACAAAGACUUCUUCAAGACAUACUUUGACUGUGAUGAACCUGAACUGGCCAACACCUCCAUUGAGAUCCUAACAGUAAUCCCUGAAGGUACCCCACCUCAAGGAACACACCAACAUUUUGGGUUUUUAGCUUAUUCACUGUAUUCCCCAGAGUUACAUAAGUCCAUACAUACCAUUUUCAUCUCUGUGUGUCCUG